AGAUAGAAGAAAUCCAUGUUUCUCCCUUACUACGAUUUUCAGAGGAAGAUGUGAGGGCUUGGAUGGGGCUAAAGAGAACUCAUCAACAGGGGCAAAAUGGACGUGUAAGCACCCAGCAACAGGAGGAACAUAUGUCACCUUCCAAGAUAUUCUUCUAGAUAGCAGAACUGCUCGUGAAGAGACAUCACCCAGGCUUCGCAGGUACACUGAUAUAACUGGUGGGACAAUUUUGAAAAUAUAUUCGAUGCAAAAUAAAUGUCUGCAUGGAAAGCAUUUCUGAUGGUUUCCGUGAGAACGAUCGAGGAAGGUUGCAGAGGUGCUCCCUAGCAAAAUUUUUAUUUCCCCCUUGACUGAAAACAGUCAACUCAGCACUGCUAUUUGAUGUUGUUUGAAUGUACACUGACUGGCUGAAUGUCAUAUGAGAGAUAUGUGAUCACCUGGUCAACUGCAUACUGCAUAGUGAACAGUCUUUGGGGACAGAUUGACAAAUUUCAUAACAAGGUAUAGUACCAGUAGUGUUCAGCAUUAGGGGUGGAGUGGGCCUUUUAGAGUUUGUUGGCCUAUAAUAUAUAUAGAAGAUGUGAAGCUUGUCAAAAUAAAAACCUAUAUAUGGCAUUAACAUGUGAAUAAAGUAAACCUACACUAUCAAAGAGAAAAUCUUUUUUUCCACAAGUGAUUACAAUAUAAACAGCUUCUUUCUACAUAUCGAGAGUUUUCUUUCGGGUGGGUGAAUGUGUUUGUUGGAAGGGGAUGGUUGGGUGUAAAUUGAACCCAAACAUCUGAAAAGUACUUUUCUUUUUUUUUUUAACAAGAGAUUUAAGGAAGAGAGAAUGCAUUCAUAUUGAUGAUAAAUAGAGCACAUCUUAAUCAUGUCCAUCCCACCUUCCUCUUCUUCCUUCUCUUUUAUAGUGGUAAUACAUAAUAAAAGCAAGUUGAUGUGCAUGAUCUUAUACUUUUCUUUUAAGUUUACUAUUUGUUGUCUCAAAUGUGCAGUCUAAUAUGUCAGGGUCAUUAUCAUUAAUGUAAUUUUUCACAUCAUCAUACUAUUGCUUCUUUUGUAAAGAUACUUUAUGCUUGACAGAGCCAGUGCCAGUCGUUACUUGUGCGAAUUUGUUAUGCUGGCAUAUAAUGAUUGUACAUAGGGCACUGCAAUUUGUUAAGCUGACACAUGAUAGAAAAUGAAAUAAAAUGUUAAUAUUUUUUUAAAUGUGAAUCUUGUAAUGGUUAGGACAAAAUGCAAAGGAAAUGCCAGAAGUGGAAUGUAAAAGCUAACAUUUCCAUGUAUUCUUUCUUGGUAUUAUUUAAAAGUGGUCCAUCUAAUUUUUGCUGCGAUUUUAAGACAGUUUAAUCAUGUAUUUAUGCAUCCACCACCAUAUCUCAGGAUGCCCAACUUGUUUGAUAAGAGGUUUUUAUAAUUCAUUAAUAUAUUUUAUAUAUAAUUAUUUUUUCAUCUACCUUUUUAUUAGUCAUUUUUGAGGAAUGUUUUUUCAACAGGAUGUCCUCAAGGGAAAGAGGACAUGUAAUUAUCAGAUGAGGGUAUGCAUGCAUUACACUUGUCUGGUUAUCUGUAUAGUCUACCCUAGUCCUUUUAUGAAGAGGUUCUGUUUUUAUGUGUAAUGGGAUGCAUUGUCGACACAUAAGUAUCUCUGUUAGUGGUAUUAGGGAUUCAACAUUAUUUGUAAGAGGUGUGGUUCUUUUAGAAUAUAGUGGUUAUUCCUCAAAAUUUCAGUAAUUCUUAUAUUUUAGUUUACUGAAAGUUACUAUUAACUGAAGACAAGUGAUUUUUUUUACGGCACUUCUGCGACACCAGUAAUGAACAUGAAUCUUCCAUGAGAAUCACUUCUAACAACAGUCCGCAUGAUGCUUGUCCAUCUUCUAACCAUGCAUCUCUUUCACUUGUUUAAUCUAUUGACUAGUAUGCCUUCUCUUCUUCCUCUGCAGAUUUAUAAAACUCCCAAUCCUUUGUUUCUUCUCUGAUUCCUCUUUGGCUCUUCUGUCUUUUAUUUCUGUCUGCUUAGUUAUUUAUCCUCCCGUCCUUCAUAUGCUGUUCAUGUCUCUUCAUUGUCUCAAGCAUUGAGAGUAUGCUCUUAUAUGAGUGCAAUCAUGUGGUCUAUAAAUCACACCUUAAUAUGAAGUACUAGUAGUAGGCUUUAAUACAUCUGGCUUACUCAAAGUGUUGGCUUUGUAGGCAGUGCUCUGUGAUUUACAUAAAAAUUAACAAAUAAAAGAAGACAUCAUAUUAUGAAGAGAUAUAAUUACCACAACCAUUCAUGCACACUUACAAAGAUCUGCUCAUUUGCUGCUCAAAGAUCUUACUCAAGAAGAUAAAUUGAUUUUUUAUUGGUCUCUAUAAAAGGUUUCUCUACCACUUUAAAAAAAAAAAAAUGUCAGUCCAAUGCACAAUGCUACACUUUACAAAAGCAUGCAUCAUAAAAUGGUUGCUUAAAAAAAAAAGACCAGUUCUAAAACAAAUUCUUA